GGGUAAGAAGCUGAAAAUUAUACAGGAGGAGGAGAAGAAACACGUUGAUUAUCGCUAUAGAUUUGUAGGUAUAAACUCUGAGAGAACGCAUAUUGCUCAACGUGAAAAUGCAGCAGUAACGACAAGAUUCAACUGGCGAAGAGCAUGAAUCUCUAUAGGGAGACAAUCAUG